UCCUCCGCGCGUCCGCUCUCUUCGACCCCAGGGGAAAGAAACAGGAGCUAGAGAUGGAAGGUGCGAAGAGGCUUGAGGCAUCACAUUUGAACAAGGAAUUAGAGAAGUUGGAGGACAUCCAGUAAAAGAAGAACAGGAAGAUGUUGGAACUACGGAUGAUGCUGUGUGAGGAUCAAUUGAAAGCACUGGCAAAGUAUAGCCUGUUAUUGAGGUCUUGCUGAGCUUCCUCUGGAGAAGACUGAGAGCGUUCUUUCCGGAUGAUCUCAGCAGCUAAUCAAUAGUGGAUACACUGUGGGGAAGAGAAUCUUCCUCUUUGGACCCCAGUUCCACAUCAUGAAUGUGGGUCUUCUUCUAGAUUGACUCCAAUCUAGCCUCAGUCUCCCAAGCAAUGAUCACUGCCUUCAUAGUUUCAACUAAGAAGCAGAUGCUUCUGAUUGGCUGAUUUUUAAUCUUGGAGAGUGAAGAGACAUUAAGAACAGUAAGAAGAGGAAGAAGCCUUAUUUUCCUGUUGUUUCUCAAUAAUAGUCUCCUAAUUGGACUCAUGAUGACUUAGAGAUUCUUCUUUGAUAACCCCCACAGCUUCAGCUCCACCACCUCCCCGACCUUCCAUCUUUCUGACAAGAAGGAAAAGGGCCUCGAAGUCCCCGGGGCUGGCAUCAGCUCCCCUGGCCCCGCCUGUCAGGCUGGGGAGGCCCUGGAGCCUCCUGUGGUAUAUAAUUGUGAUGAAAUACUGUUGUGCUAUAAGAAAUGACAAGCA